CCUUCCCCUAGAGGCAUUGCAGGUGUGGCUGCUGUGUCACAACUGUGCCAGUAGAUGGCAGAGGAGAGAGGUUAUGUCUACCCUCAGUGUUCUGACCUAUGAACAUCUGAAUUAUUAGUAGUCUAACAUU